GGUGGUUAUAGCACGAGGGAUCCACCUCUUCCCAUCCCGAACAGAGAAGUUAAGCCUCGUCACGCCGAUGGUACUGCGUAAAAGUGGAAGAGUAGGUAGCCGCCG
rnacentral:rRNA from 1 species